rnacentral:rRNA from 1 species
UACGGAGGGGGCUAGCGUUGUUCGGAUUUACUGGGCGUAAAGCGCACGUAGGCGGGUCGUUAAGUCGGGGGUGAAAUCCUGGAGCUCAACUCCAGAACUGCCUUCGAUACUGGCGACCUAGAGUCCGGAAGAGGUGAGUGGAACUCCUAGUGUAGAGGUGGAAUUCGUAGAUAUUAGGAAGAACACCAGUGGCGAAGGCGGCUCACUGGUCCGGUACUGACGCUGAGGUGCGAAAGCGUGGGGAGCAAACAGG